rnacentral:rRNA from 1 species
UACCAUCCUGAACACACACAAUCUCAUCUGAUCACAGAAGCUAAGCAGGGUCAGGCCUGGUUAGUACAUGGAUGGGAGAGGUGACUAGGUU